ACGGGUGAGUAACGCGUGGGUAACCUACCCUGUACACACGGAUAACAUACCGAAAGGUAUGCUAAUACGGGAUAAUAUAUUUGAGAGGCAUCUCUUAAAUAUCAAAGGUGAGCCAGUACAGGAUGGACCCGCGUCUGAUUAGCUAGUUGGUAAGGUAACGGCUUACCAAGGCAACGAUCAGUAGCCGACCUGAGAGGGUGAUCGGCCACAUUGGAACUGAGACACGGUCCAAACUCCUACGGGAGGCAGCAGUGGGGAAUAUUGCACAAUGGGCGAAAGCCUGAUGCAGCAACGCCGCGUGAGUGAUGAAGGCCCUCGGGUCGUAAAACUCUGUCCUCAAGGAAGAUAAUGACGGUACUUGAGGAGGAAGCCCCGGCUAACUACGUGCCAGCAGCCGCGGUAAUACGUAGGGGGCUAGCGUUAUCCGGAUUUACUGGGCGUAAAGGGUGCGUAGGCGGUCUUUCAAGUCAGGAGUGAAAGGCUACGGCUCAACCGUAGUAAGCUCUUGAAACUGGGAGACUUGAGUGCAGGAGAGGAGAGUGGAAUUCCUAGUGUAGCGGUGAAAUGCGUAGAUAUUAGGAGGAACACCAGUUGCGAAGGCGGCUCUCUGGACUGUAACUGACGCUGAGGCACGAAAGCGUGGGGAGCAAACAGGAUUAGAUACCCUGGUAGUCCACGCUGUAAACGAUGAGUACUAGGUGUCGGGGGUUACCCCCUUCGGUGCCGCAGCUAACG
rnacentral:rRNA from 1 species